UAUACUUUGUAUAUAAGUAACUAAAGCUUAAAUAUAUGUAGUGGAGUAAAAACUAAAAUAUUUAUAAAGUAGGCUACUAUAAAGAGGAAAUACUCAAGUAAACUAAAAGUCAACAUUGUACAUUAUAUAACUGUUCAUUAUAUAAUUUGAUUAUAAUUAUUGAUGCAUUUAUGUGUACAUCACUUUGCAGCUGGUAAAGGCGUGUGUCAUUUUGCACCGUUGCCUAAUCUCUAAUAAUACAUCAUAUUUAUUAUUUAUUUAUUCUAUUUUGUAUUACUAAUCUGAAUCUGUAAAGUAAGUAGUAUGCUAACUCAAUGUAUCCCCCGGUGGAGAUAAUAUAUUAAAUACACAAAAUAAUUUAACUAAAACAUUUAUUUAAUAAUAUAUAAAUACAACCACAAUUACUCUGUGACUUUUAAUUUACAAAUUUCCCAAAAAUUAAAUAAAAGACAAAACAAAGUCCCAUUUGUCAAACAAUUUCCCCAUUCCUCAAGCUAAACUUCCAAACAAUACAAGCAUGCACAGGAGACUUAACUCUUCAGCUGUUCAGUGUGUUAACGCUGUGAUAUCUCCCACGUUGACUGUGCUGCUGCUGAAACCUUUCCUGCAGACACUGCAACACUACGGUUUCUCUCCUGUGUGGAUUCUCCUAUGAACACACAGGUUGCUGCUCUGAGUGAACUUGCCACAGAACGGACACUUGUGAGGUUUCUCUCCGGUCUGGGUUCGCAGGUCUCUAAGCAGGAACGUCUUGCCCCAUUUGUUGCACUUAAAAGGCUUCUCUCUGUGGCAUGGCUCUCACCCGCGUGUCAUAUGAGGUUAACGUCCUUUAUAAAACGUUGAAGCUGAGGUUCUCCGCAGAAACAGCGGCAGCCUGACAGGAGGUGUACAUGUGCAGCAGCAGUCUGAUGAAGGGGUCUGACAGAAUAUUUCAUCUUGGCUCUGCUGCGGCUCCAUGUUGGGACUCCACUCCUGCUGAGGAAGGAACAUCUCUUCCUGACACUCCAGGGCCAUCUAUUAAACAUGAAGCAACAGUUUACUGACACAGACUUUGGGUAUUACUGAAGCUCUGGAGUAGAAAUAUGCUGAGUUUGACCUCUCGGUCUCAUUUAUGUCACUCUUCAUUAUCUCACUGUCUGUUCUUAUUGGAAGUCUUACAUGAGGAAAUCCUGUCGGUAAAAUAAAUCUCAAACAACAACUUGAACAUUUCCAGGAGAAAAAUAGUUCCUUUGGUUUGAAACAUUUAAAGUACAUUAGAACAAAAGACUUGGACUGGUUAAAGUCUGAUCUGCCUAUUUUAUUGACAUUUGUCUCAUUUUAAGGAUGCUUUUUGUCUGGUUGUUGCAGCCUGUGAUUCUAGUAUAAAGAUAUUUUUGUUUCA